UACGUAGGGCGCGAGCGUUGUCCGGAUUUAUUGGGCGUAAAGAGCUCGUAGGCGGCUUGUCGCGUCGACUGUGAAAACUCGGGGCUCAACUCCGAGCUUGCAGUCGAUACGGGCAGGCUAGAGUUCGGUAGGGGAGACUGGAAUUCCUGGUGUAGCGGUGAAAUGCGCAGAUAUCAGGAGGAACACCGAUGGCGAAGGCAGGUCUCUGGGCCGAUACUGACGCUGAGGAGCGAAAGCGUGGGGAGCGAACAGG
rnacentral:rRNA from 1 species